AGGACGAACGCUGGCGGCGUGCCUAACACAUGCAAGUCGAACGAGAUCCACGGAGUGCUUGCACUCCCGAAGAUCUAGUGGCGAACGGGUGAGUAACACGUGAGAAACCUGCCCCAGACUCUGGGAUAACCUCGGGAAACCGAAGCUAAUACCGGAUAUUCUCCUUUGGUCGCAUGGCCAGUUGAGGAAAGUUUUUCGGUCUGGGAGGGUCUCGCGGCCUAUCAGCUAGUUGGGGGGGUAACGGCCCACCAAGGCUACGACGGGUAGCUGGUUUGAGAGAACGAUCAGCCACACUGGAACUGAGACACGGUCCAGACUCCUACGGGAGCAGCAGUGGGGAAUCUUGCGCAAUGGGCGAAAGCCUGACGCAGCAACGCGCGUGCGGAUGAAGGCUUCGGGUUGUAACCGCUUCAGCAGGACGAAAUGACGUACCUGCAGAAGAACGCCCGGACUAACGUACGUGCCAGCAGCCGC
rnacentral:rRNA from 1 species